CAUGGAUUACACCAUAGUUCCAUCCUCUUCCCAGUGGCCUGUUCACUUUCCUGAACCUCAUAAUGGGUUUCCUUCCAAGCCCAGCUAUUUCCUCACUGCGAUGUUGUGUCAUACACAUUACAUUCGGUGCCUCCUCUUCUCGCCCACAAUACCUGUGUUCCCCUCUCAGCACUGGUCCACUCUUACGUUUCCUGUUUUAAGACUGAAACACAAAGGCACACAAACAGUUGAGCAAGACACUCUCAGGCAUUCACACACACACACACACACACACACACACACACACACACACACACACAUUUCUGUUCCUGAGACUGGCUUAUUUCACUUAGCAUCUUGAUCUCCAUGUCGACACACAUCCUGCUUAUCUCAAUUUCCUUCACAUGUAAUGAUGUGACAGUGUUGUUGAUUUCUCAUCCCCUCCCACAUGUUUGUGCUCAUCCUGUCGGUUCCCUUCUGAGCUAUAGUGAACAGGGCAACCAUGAGCCUGGAUGUCUGAGGAUCCCUGCCUUACAUUGACGGAUCAGGCAGCAGUCCCCUUUUCCUUGUUCUGAGGAACUUUCAUGCUGGCAUCCAGGGUCACUUCCCCGGUCUCACUUCCCAACAUCAGUGUGUGAGCAUCCAUGAUUCUCCCUGUCCUGCCUGUCAUUUGUUGGCCUUGCUUUCCUCGUUACCAGUCAUGGUGGAGGGGGGAACCUGUCACCUCAAACACCUUUAAUUCCCUUCCCGGGAUGGUGAGGAUGCUGAGCAUUUGUUGAAGUGUCUACCUUUGUGGGUCUUCUUUUGAGGGCCUUCUCUUCAGUUCACUACCCCAAGUAUUGAUUAGAUGCUUUGGUUUUUGUUGUGUGGGGCGGUGGGGUUUGACACUAGACAGAAGACUGGGCAAUGAAGUUAGUUAAAAAACAAAACUCGGAAUUCUCAUAAUUGCGAACACUAGGCAUUAGUUCCAAUUCAGGUCAAGGGCUACUGGUUUCAGAACAAGUGACGAAAACAUUCCACUAGAAGGAUCAUGUCACUUGGGACACCACCUGAGGCCCUCCCCCAUGCAUAUAAAGCAUCCCAACCUCUCAAGACUGAGCCAAACAGAAGCAUCUACCCCUGGAUCCCAGUCCAUUCCUGGAAUGUGGAGGAGGCCUCUGUCCACAAGGGAAAAAGUGCAUGAGCUAUUUCACCAAGAAUCAUCCGAGUGCAUCUGUCUUAUGAGCUAUAAUACUCUUGGGAACAGUUUUCCCUGAGGAAGCCUUCCUUGCUGGAUCUUGUCCCGGCCCAGCGGUUUGGGGAAGCUUCCCUGCUGCUACUUGGCUUGACACUGAGGAUACCAUUGGCUGUAAUUGCACACCACAUUCUGCCACUCCCUUAGUGGCUAUGGCUCCAGUCCUAGGGACAUAGUGAAGUGUGUAAAAUGCUCACUGGGCAAGCACUGGUGAGUCAGGGUUCAAUACCUUGGGCCCACGUCAGCUUUGAUCUAUGUUUCUUUGUGGUGGGGCCCAAGUGUGUGCUCUUGGACAACUCUUAGGUGAAUCUUAAUUCCUCUCCGUGUGUGAGCACAGGGCAGAGUCUUAGGGCGACACUGAGAUCCUUUUUCAGCCCCUACUGCUCCUUCACACCAGGAAGUGUCGACCAGGAAAUAGCGAGCAAGAGGAGCUGAGGGAGGGGCCUGGCCUAGAUGACCACAGAGUACCAUCCUUGAUAAGACUGCUGAAGUGAAAGGUUUGAUUUGGCUUCCAAGAGCAAGAAAUCUGAAAUCUGAAAGUCAAAACACUUUCUGAAUGGCCUUGUAGGGCAUCAAUGGCAGGAGAUCGAUGCCGCAGAGUAGGGGAUGCCAGGGC
ensembl:lncRNA